GACUCUCAGUAACGGAUAUCUCGGCUCUCGCAUCUAUGAAGAAUGUAGUGAAAUGCGAUACUUGGUGUGAAUUGCAGAAUCCCGUGAACCAUUGAGGUUUUGAACGUAACUUGCACCCGAAGCUGUUAGGUCGAGGGCACGCGUACCUGGGUGUCA